rnacentral:rRNA from 1 species
UACGGGGGGUGCAAGCGUUGUCCGGAAUCAUUGGGCGUAAAGCGUUCGUAGGCGGUAAAGUAAGUCAGAUGUUAAAGCCCGGGGCUCAACUCCGGUUCGGCAUUUGAUACUACUUAACUAGAAUGUGGUAGAGGUAAAGGGAAUUCCUGGUGUAGCGGUGAAAUGCGUAGAUAUCAGGAGGAACAUCGGUGGCGAAAGCGCUUUACUGGGCCAUUAUUGACGCUGAGGAACGAAAGCCAGGGGAGCAAAUG